UACGGGGGGGGCAAGCGUUGUUCGGAAUUACUGGGCGUAAAGGCUCGUAGGCGGCCAACUAAGUCGGAUGUGAAAUCCCCAGGCUCAACUUGGGAACUGCAUCCGAUACUGGAUGGCUUGAAUUCGGGAGAGGGAUGCAGAAUUCCAGGUGUAGCGGUGAAAUGCGUAGAUAUCUGGAGGAAUACCGGUGGCGAAGGCGGCAUCCUGGACCGACAUUGACGCUGAGGAGCGAAAAGCUAGGGGAGCAAACGGGG
rnacentral:rRNA from 1 species